rnacentral:misc_RNA from 1 species
ACAAAGGGUUAGGUUAGGUUGAAUUAGAAUUGCAUUAACCAUGAGAAUCUGAAGAACCUAUACCCAAUGCAGAAAUCACACAUACAUAUAUGUAUUUGGGUGAAUCAUAAUAACCCAAAUGAAAAAAUCCCAAAUCUUUCAUGAACAGAAUCAGAUUGAAUAUUCAAAUGAUCGACUUUGUUACUGAACAUCUUUCUUUGCAAACUGAUCCCACAAAACUCAUUUUAACAAGC